rnacentral:rRNA from 1 species
UACGGGGGGGCAAGCGUUGUUCGGAAUUACUGGGCGUAAAGGGUUCGUAGGUGGCUUGUUAAGUCAGACGUGAAAUCCCUCGGCUCAACCGGGGAACUGCGUCUGAGACUGAUGAGCUUGAGUGCAGGAGAGGAACGCGGAAUUCCAGGUGUAGCGGUGAAAUGCGUAGAUAUCUGGAGGAACACCGGUGGCGAAGGCGGCGUUCUGGACUGCAACUGACACUGAGGAACGAAAGCCAGGGGAGCAAACGGG